GGAAGUAAAAGUCGUAACAAGGUUUCCGUAGGUGAACCUGCGGAAGGAUCAUUACCACACCAAAAAACAACCCCACGUGAAUCUGUACUCGUAUUGUUUUGUGUCUUUGGAUUGUAUGGUUGAUUUGUUUAUUCAGAUUGACAAUUUAAGUACGAACCAUUGGCUGAACGAAGGUUUCGCAAGAAACCGAUGUUAUUUCAAACCCCCAUUUUAAUUUAAUUGUACUGAAAUUAUAUUGCAGAGAUGAAAAUCUUUGCUCUUAAUUAAUAUACAACUUUCAACAGUGGAUGUCUAGGCUCGCACAUCGAUGAAGAACGCUGC
rnacentral:rRNA from 1 species